UGCCAGCAGCCGCGGUAAUACGGAGGGGGCUAGCGUUGUUCGGAAUCACUGGGCGUAAAGCGCGCGUAGGCGGACUGAUUAGUUGGAGGUGAAAGCCCAGAGCUCAACUCUGAAAUAGCCUUCAAUACUGUCAGUCUAGAGUUCGAGAGAGGUGAGUGGAAUUCCUAGUGUAGAGGUGAAAUUCGUAGAUAUUAGGAAGAACACCAGUGGCGAAGGCGGCUCACUGGCUCGAUACUGACGCUGAGGUGCGAAAGCGUGGGGAGCAAACAGGAUUAGAUA
rnacentral:rRNA from 1 species